UUUCCGUAGGUGAACCUGCGGAAGGAUCAUUAACGAGUAAAGGCCUUUGUGGCUUUAUUAUCCAACACACUUGUUACAAUAAAAUUUUUGCUUUGGGAAUUUAAUUAUUCCCAACAAUCAAAACCACUAAGUUUUCUUUUGUCUGAAUGAUUAUUUAAAAGCUCAAACCUUUAAACAAUGAAUCACUUGGUUCUUGCAUCGAUGACGAACGCAGCAUAACGGCAGAGCAUACGUCUACACUCCACUCACUUCUUACAUCGUCGUAGAACGUCUUCG
rnacentral:misc_RNA from 1 species